UGAAAGUUAUGUUAAAUCAAAAAAUUGCAAUAGACAAACAACAACGCUAAGUAAAUCACACAUUUGAUAAACGAAAGUAUAUGCAAUAAUUGUAUAUACAGUUGCAUUGUUUACCGCAGUCGACAGCUGUGGCUCCCGUCCGCACGGCAGGCAAUAGGGCGAGUACUCGGUGGAGGCCUGGACGCUGCCGUUGUGUUCAAAGAGAAUGACCUUCAGGUUGUCCUCCCACCGUUCCUGGUACCCGUCAAGGGACUUGUCCAUGGCAGUCUUGAGGGUCUUGAGAGUCUAGUUGGUCCGUUCAUCCAAACCUGGAGGAGGGGAGUUCACGACCUCGGUCACUCAAGCUGACCUCAGGAGAACCGUGGGUUUUGAAGAUGGCCACCUCCAAGGCGAUGAUGGACUCCCCAGUUUCAUCCUUGAUGGGUAUCAUACAAAACAAAUAUCUGUUUGGUUCCUACCACCCUUUUAAUGGGUUACAGAAGGGAAUUGAGAGUAAAGCACGUUGUCUUCCUUUUACUGACCUUAAUGGGUAUUGCCUCAACCCACUUGGUAAAGUGAUCAGUCACCGUCAGACACCAGCUGUUGCCAAUCCUGGAUUUAGUGAAGAGUACGAUGAGGUCCACCCCUAACAUUUAAAGUGUUCCAGAGAAGUUGACUUUAUUCUCACCCGUAUCUGUGUCCUAUUGUCACACCUUGAUCUGUUUCACCUGUCUUUGUCCUCGUCUCCAACCCCCCCCUCCAGGUGUCGCCCAUCUCCCCUCAUUAUCCCCUGUGUAUUUAUACCUGUGUUCUCUGUUUGUCUGUUGCCAGUUUUGUUUCUUCAAGCCUACCAGCGGUUUUCCCCUCGGUUCCUGUCUGUCGAUUGUUCCUGUUUGCUAGUUUUCCCGGUGUUGACCAUUCUGCCUGCCGUCCUGUACCUUUUCCCCACCUUUCUGGAUUACUGCCCCUUGACCUGCCUUUUGCCUGCCCUGUUCGAUUUAAUAAACUGUUGUUACUUCAAAGUUGUCUACAUCUGGG
ensembl:lncRNA